UCUACGGGUGGCAGCAGUGGGGAAUAUUGGACAAUGGGCGAAAGCCUGAUCCAGCCAUGCCGCGUGUGUGAAGAAGGCCUUCGGGUUGUAAAGCACUUUCAGUGGGGAAGAAAGCCUUGGGGCUAAUACCCUCGAGGAAGGACAUCACCCACAGAAGAAGCACCGGCUAACUCCGUGCCAGCAGCCGCGGUAAUACGGAGGGUGCGAGCGUUAAUCGGAAUUACUGGGCGUAAAGCGCGCGUAGGCGGUCUGAUAAGCCGGUUGUGAAAGCCCCGGGCUCAACCUGGGAACGGCAUCCGGAACUGUCAGGCUAGAGUGCAGGAGAGGAAGGUAGAAUUCCCGGUGUAGCGGUGAAAUGCGUAGAGAUCGGGAGGAAUACCAGUGGCGAAGGCGGCCUUCUGGACUGACACUGACGCUGAGGUGCGAAAGCGUGGGUAGCAAACAGGAUUAGAUACCCGAGUAGUC
rnacentral:rRNA from 1 species